CAUUUUUAGGACAACCGACACCUAACAAACACAUGGAGUGGCUCUAUUAUUACACACAUCAACUGUGGUUCACUUGUAUCACCCGGCGGUGCAUGGAGGGUGACAUUCGAUGUCUGAUUUUACAUCCAUAAGGUGUACUAGGAGCUCGCCCAGGCGGACACCAGUGGGUACGUCCAGCUUUCGGAACUGGAAUGGAACGCAGAUGUAAGUACACGAAGACACGAACCUCCCAUAUUGGAGUCCCUUCUGUCCUUUCUCGAGACCCGCCCCCUUUGACGUCAUCACUACCGGAACCGGAAGUUGAUAUUUAUUUACACUUGAACAAAUAAAACUGCAAUGUUAGCGAAUAAUAACAAUG